GACGAACGCUGGCGGCGUGCCUAAUACAUGCAAGUCGAGCGCAGGAAAUCGACGGAACCCUUCGGGGGGAAGUCGACGGAAUGAGCGGCGGACGGGUGAGUAACACGUAAAGAACCUGCCCCCAGGUCUGGGAUAACCACGAGAAAUCGGGGCUAAUACCGGAUGGGUCAUCGGACCGCAUGGUCCGAGGAUGAAAGGCGCUUCGGCGUCGCCUGGGGAUGGCUUUGCGGUGCAUUAGCUAGUUGGUGGGGUAAUGGCCCACCAAGGCGACGAGGAAUAGGCGACGUGAGGGGGGGAUCGGGCAAACUGGGGCUGAGACACGGCCAAGACUCCUACGGGAGGCAGCAGUAGGGAAUCUUCCACAAUGGACGAAAGUCUGAUGGAGCAACGCCGCGUGAACGAUGAAGGCCUUCGGGUCGUAAAGUUCUGUUGUAAGGGAAGAACAAGUGCCGCAGGCAAUGGCGGCACCUUGACGGUACCUUGCGAGAAAGCCACGGCUAACUACGUGCCAGCCGCCGCCGUAA
rnacentral:rRNA from 1 species